rnacentral:misc_RNA from 1 species
GUAGGUGAACCUGCGGAAGGAUCAUUAUCGAGUUUGAAGUGGGUCUUUGAGCUGGCUUUUCACGAAGCACCGUGCUCGGGCCCCGCUCCAUCCACUCAACCCCUGUGCACUUUCGAUGACGUGGUCUCGUUGAGUGAUGUUCCAUUCAUUUGGACAUCGGAGGUCGCGACGUCGUCUUAUCACAGACUUAUUACAAUAGUCUUGUCGAACGUGGAUGCUCGUAAGGGCGGAAACACAAUACAACUUUCAACAACGGAUCUCUUGGCUCUC